UGAUUAGAAGCUUGCUUCUAUGACGUUAGCGGCGGACGGGUGAGUAACACGUGGGCAACCUGCCUGUAAGACUGGGAUAACUUCGGGAAACCGAAGCUAAUACCGGAUAGGAUCUUCUCCUUCAUGGGAGAUGAUUGAAAGAUGGUUUCGGCUAUCACUUACAGAUGGGCCCGCGGUGCAUUAGCUAGUUGGUGAGGUAACGGCUCACCAAGGCAACGAUGCAUAGCCGACCUGAGAGGGUGAUCGGCCACACUGGGACUGAGACACGGCCCAGACUCCUACGGGAGGCAGCAGUAGGGAAUCUUCCGCAAUGGACGAAAGUCUGACGGAGCAACGCCGCGUGAGUGAUGAAGGCUUUCGGGUCGUAAAACUCUGUUGUUAGGGAAGAACAAGUACGAGAGUAACUGCUCGUACCUUGACGGUACCUAACCAGAAAGCCACGGCUAACUACGUGCCAGCAGCCGCGGUAAUACGUAGGUGGCAAGCGUUAUCCGGAAUUAUUGGGCGUAAAGCGCGCGCAGGCGGUUUCUUAAGUCUGAUGUGAAAGCCCACGGCUCAACCGUGGAGGGUCAUUGGAAACUGGGGAACUUGAGUGCAGAAGAGAAAAGCGGAAUUCCACGUGUAGCGGUGAAAUGCGUAGAGAUGUGGAGGAACACCAGUGGCGAAGGCGGCUUUUUGGUCUGUAACUGACGCUGAGGCGCGAAAGCGUGGGGAGCAAACAGGAUUAGAUACCCUGGUAGUCCACGCCGUAAACGAUGAGUGCUAAGUGUUAGAGGGUUUCCGCCCUUUAGUGCUGCAGCUAACGCAUUAAGCACUCCGCCUGGGGAGUACGGUCGCAAGACUGAAACUCAAAGGAAUUGACGGGGGCCCGCACAAGCGGUGGGAGCAUGUGUUUAAUUCGAAGCAACGCGAAGAACCUUACCAGGUCUUGACAUCCUCUGACAACUCUAGAGAUAGGAGCGGUUCCCCUUCGGGGG
rnacentral:rRNA from 1 species